rnacentral:rRNA from 1 species
AUGCUAACCAGCUGGCUAUCCAUUACAGCGAUGCUGCUGAUCUCGGUACCAUCGGUGGUCGCUGGGGAUCCGCCCAUGACGAUGCCGAACUGCAAUGCCACCUGUGGCAACGUGAGUGUGCCGUACCCGUUCGGUAUGGGCCCGGCCAGGUGCUACUGGCCCGGGUUCAAGCUCACCUGCGACUACGGAAGCAAGCCGCCGCGGCUUCUCCUCGGUGAAAGCAGCGCCGGUGCGUUCGAGGUGGUCGACAUCUCCCUUGAGAACACCACGAUGCGUGUCACCAGCCACGGAGUGCACUCUGUAAACAUGAGCGACUCGGGCGACGGGCUCCGCCGGUGGAGCUGGAACCUCAACGGCGAUGCAAUCGGUGGGGUCCUGCCAAUGCCAUACAUUCUUAGGUGCGACGGAAACGAGCUCAUCCUCACGGGGUGCAACGUGGAGGUUACGCUGCUGAACGGGAGCAGCAGCGGAGGAAUCAUCGUUAGCGGCUGUGCCUCCUUCUGCCCCUAUGGCACGCAGAUGCAGACCGACAGCGGCAAGAUCGGCAAGAUCCCUACAGGCUACGCGUCCUACAGCUUGCAGCUUAAGCGGUUCGACAGCGGCCUGGCGACGCCGAGAAGUUACAAUGACAUGGAGAGCAACGUGGUGAACGUGCUCAUGGCGGAGGAGGGUUGGCUCAACGAGCACCGGAUCAAUCAUCUGCGUUUCGCGGUGGGGAGGAGAGCUACUAAGCUGAAGGUCCCCGUGAUCCUCGACUGGAUGGUGCCGCACGGGGCAGCACCAACUGACUACAACACAUGGGCAUGCCCUGCCGACGCUGCCCGGACCAUCUGUAAGAGCACCAACAGUCAGUGCACAGAUAAAACAGCUGAAGGUUUAAGUCCUGAACUCAGAGGCUAUGUUUGCCAGUGCAACAAGGGCUAUGAAGGCAAUCCUUACCUCAGCGGCGGAUGCCAAGACAUCAGAGAGUGCGAUCGAAAAGAAAAACAUGGAUGCUUCGGUGACUGUGAAGAACUUCCAGGGACGUUCAGAUGCCAGUGUCCCAUAGGGACUGAUGGCAACCCCCCACGGUAAACACAGGUCAUCAUCACAUGGGAUUAAUCAUUGGGCUAUCGGUUGGUAGUGGCCCCUGCGUUCUACUUUUGGUUCUUGGUGCACUCCUAAUAGCCCGUGAACUUAAGCAACACAAGGCGAAGACUUUAAGGAGGAAGUUCUUUAUUCAAAACCGCGGACAACUUUUGAAACAAUUGGUAUCUCAUAGGGCAGACAUAGCAGAGAGGAUGAUCAUUUCCUUAGAGGAGGUGAAAAAAGCUACUAAUAAUUUCGAUCAAGCCCGUAGGCUCGGUGGAGGAGGGCAUGGAACUGUCUACAAAGGGAUCUUGUCAGAUCUACAUGUCGUAGCCAUCAAGAAAUCAAGGAUCCACCAUAAGAAUAUUGAGAGAGAAAUCGAAGAAUUCAUUAACGAGGUUGCAAUACUCUCACAGAUCAACCAUAGGAAUAUUGUGAAGCUUCAUGGUUGUUGCCUUGAGUCAGAAGUCCCGUUAUUGGCUUAUGAGUUCAUUUCCAAUGGAACACUCAGUGACCAUCUUCACACGGAAGCACCAGGAUCACUGUCUUGGAAAGAUAGAUUAAGGAUCACAAGUGAAAUAAGCAAAGCUCUAGCUUAUCUUCACUCUGCCAUUUCAGUCCCCAUAAUCCACAGAGAUAUUAAGCCUUCCAACAUACUUCUUGAUGAUGCAUUGACAGCAAAAGUAUCGGACUUUGGAGCCUCGAGGUACAUUCUAGAUCAAACUGGAACAACUACUGUGGUGCAAGGAACUAUUGGAUAUUUAGACCCUAUAUAUUUUUAUACACGAAGACUAACUGAAAGUAGCGAUGUCUAUAGUUUUGGAGUUCUUCUUGUUGAGUUGCUUACAAGGAAGAGGCCAUCUUUGUGCAUGUCCUCUGAAGGCAAUUAGCUUGUCAUGCAAUUUGUUCAACUACUUGAAGAUGGCAAUCUGGCAGAUAUACUGGAUCCACAGAUUCUGGACGAAGGAGGUAGUGAAGUGGAAGAAGUGGCUACUCUAGCUGCGUCGUGCAUCAAGCUCAUAGCGGAAGAGCGACCAACAAUGAGGCAAGUGGAGAUGGCACUGGAAGCUCUCCAAGAACCUGAGGAGCGGGUUUUGAGUCAUUUGAUAGAAGAAAACCUUCAGAAGCAACAUUCAACACCGAACUAUCCAACAACUAGCAAAAUAUCAAAGCAAGGGGAAGCGACCAGGUGUCGCAGCCUAGAAGAAGAGUUCAUGUUAUCCGCAAGACACCCUCGGUAG